UACGUAGGGUGCAAGCGUUGUCCGGAAUUAUUGGGCGUAAAGAGCUCGUAGGCGGUUUGUCGCGUCUGCUGUGAAAACCCAGGGCUUAACCCUGGGCCUGCAGUGGGUACGGGCAAACUAGAGUGCGGUAGGGGGAGAUCGGAAUUCCUGGUGUAGCGGUGAAAAUGCGCAGAUAUCAGGAGGAACAACCGGUGGCGAAGGCGGGUCUCUGGGCCAUUACUGACGCUGAGGAGCGAAAGCGUGGGGGAGCGAACAGG
rnacentral:rRNA from 1 species